rnacentral:rRNA from 1 species
GAUGAACGCUGGCGGCGUGCUUAACACAUGCAAGUCGAACGAGCUUUAUUACUACGAUCCCUUCGGGGUGACGGUUUUAAAGCGAGUGGCGGACGGGUGAGUAACGCGUGGAUAACCUGCCAUAUACUGGGGGAUAACAGCUGGAAACAGCUGCUAAUACCGCAUAAAACUGUAGAGUCGCAUGACUUUAUAGCCAAAGCUCCGGCGGUGUAUGAUGGAUCCGCGUCUGAUUAGGCAGUUGGCGGGGUAACGGCCCACCAAACCGACGAUCAGUAGCCGACCUGAGAGGGUGACCGGCCACAUUGGGACUGAGACACGGCCCAGACUCCUACGGGAGGCAGCAGUGGGGAAUAUUGCACAAUGGAGGAAACUCUGAUGCAGCGACGCCGCGUGAGCGAUGAAGUAUUUCGGUAUGUAAAGCUCUAUCAGCAGGGAAGAUAAUGACGGUACCUGACUAAGAAGCUCCGGCUAAAUACGUGCCAGCAGCCGG